GUAAUUUCUUUACCUAUUUCAUUUUUGUUACAUUGUUAUUCACUUUUGUUGUUGUAUGUGUAUUCCUUCUCUUACCUUUUCCAUAUAAUCCUACCUGUACUGAACUGGUGAACAUGAACAUAAGAUUUUCAAUAGUAAUUGCAUUUCUUUAAGAUAUAUUAUUAAUUUUUUUUUAUAUAAUCGUAUCCAAACUAAGCACCUCUCAAAUAAGAGCAUACACCAUAAGUGCUAUGCCAACUUGCUUGCUGUUUUUAAUAUUAACUUGAAGUCAUCCAAACAGGUAAUUUGAGGGCCAUAAAUUAGAAACCAUCAGAGGGAACUGGGUGUAUAUAGCAGUUUUGGCCAAAAUUGCAGAUUGUUUGCACACAAUAGUGUAAGGACAACACAACCCUUUGGGGUAAAGUGCAGACUGCUGAAUCCUGUUCUGAGAGUUUGUUUAUUUAUUUGAUAUUUUAUAAUAUUACAUCAGCAAAUGAGAUUAUGCAUUAAUAAUGAAAUAUGACCAACAAAUUUUGAGGAGCACUGUAGGAAACAGCCUCGGAAGAUAGGAGAAGGUAUGCAUUUUUCUCAAAGGGUCCAGGGUGGACAGGAUACUUAUUCAAAACUCUGAAACUGUAACAACAUUCGGAUACUUAAAUAUGACAGUAACAGAAUAAGAAACAAAUUUGAUAGGUAUUUCCUAGAAUUAUGUUCAGAAUCCUUUAUCUUCUGUGUCCAAGCAGAAACCAUAUCAAAAUAUACAAAACCAUAAUUUUGCCUUUUGUUUUGUACAAAUGUGAAACUGUCUUUCACAUUGAGGGAAGAACACAGGUUGAGGGUAUCAGAGCAAAUUCUGAGCAGAAUAUAUGGAUCUAAGAAAGAGGAACAGAAUGAUGGAGAAAAUUAUAUAACAAGGAGUUUCAUUAUUUUCAUUCUUUCACCUGAUAUUUCUAGGAUGAUUUUGCAUGCAUGCAUGCAUGAGGAAUACAAUUCAGAAUAACAAAAAGCAAAGGAAGAGACAAAAGGAAAAUAAUAAGAUGCAUCUCUGAGAAAUGGAAUAUGAAGGAUUCAUCUAGCUCAGGUAGGGUCCAAUGGCAGACUUUUGUGAAGACAGUAAUGAACCUCCAGGUUCUAUAAAUGCAAGGAUUUUCGUUUCUAGCUGAGUAACUAUAAACUUUUCAAGCAGGACCCUGUGCCAUGGAGUUAGGAUAACCAGCCACCAACUGGAUUUGAAGAGGGUAUCUCCUGAAUGUGACCAUGCUAAAAUAGUUAAUAACUGUGUUGCAGUGCACAGGUGGAGUGCAAAAAUUGUCAGGGCUUUGUACAGUAAAAUCUGAUCACAUCAAUGUGAUUUGCACUUCGUGUAUUACAAUUACAUUUCAUUUUAAUCUGGAAAUGAAGCCUGAAACAGAUACAGAGGCCAAUCUGUCAAUCUGAUUACAGCAUCCAACAGUAUCACCACACACAGUUAUCUGAAUAUUGCUUAUAAGUGAAAUUGAAGAGUUAUACAAUUUAAAAAAAUAACCUUACACAUCACUACACAAUAAAACUGUCACAACACACAAACUAUUCAUAUUUCCUAAAAAUGAUAAUCCAUUUCUAACAAUACAAACAUCAAACUCAGUCUUGGCACUAUUACAAAAAAUCAUGUUUCAAGAUAUUCAAGGAAUAAGGCUUCAUUCAAGAGCUGGCAAUUUCUGCUGCCAUCUUGGAUUCAUGUUUCAUAUAAAUGAGUUUCCAGUAGUAUACUUGGUGUUAUAAAUUAUGCUCUUUUAAUAUAACAAUUAGUUUGCCUUAAUUAUCUAAUGUAGUUAUCUUUAAUGUUUAUUACUGAAUGUGGGAUAUUACUGUUCUGGUCAUCUGCCUUAUGGACAUUUGGUUAUAAACACCAAAGUAACAAAGUAAACAAAAGUAAAAUGACUGACAUACAACACAAUCACUAUUGAAAUAAAGAUAAAAUAUGGUAAGUAACAUCUGCUCAUACAGGGGAUUUCUUGGACCAAUUAAGUUCCAUCUGUUGUCUGGUGUUGGUGUCCAGUAUGAAAACAGAAUAUCUUAUAUAUUAUACCUUUGUCUGUACAAAUGCCAAAACUCUUGAUCAGUCUUGACCUCUCACACUUUUUGUACAUUUAGGAACCAACAUUAUAACCCAAGAAUUCUAUUUUUUGCAGAUAUAAUUCCAUGUAACCCAGCUGACUUCACUGGACUACGUGACAUUAUAUUCCAGAACCACUGCUGUGAGAACCUCAAGUCCUACAACAUUAUAAUUCCUUGUGUACAAUUUCCCCAUAGGCAUCAUUCUGAAAACUGAAUUUAUCAUUAGAAUUUAAUAUAGAAAAAGGACUAGGAAACAUGAAGAAAUUAACAAUCUGUUCCCUUUACACGUCAUUCUUCCACACAAUUUCUGGAAUGAUACAUACAAUGCAGCCAGAAUUCCAGUAAUAUGUUAAAACCUGGAAAUAUCCUAUAUGAUUUUUUUUCCUAUUUUAUAUGCCAACCACUGAAAAUUUCCCAUGUGGCAUAUAGUUUUUGCACUUGUUCUUCAGUAAGUGUCAUAAUACACACAAACCAAACCAAUUCACGACAGCUGGUUCAGAAAAAAAAAAGCAUUUUACAACAUAUGGAGUGCUGAUUAGAGUUUCAAUGAGGUAUUUUCAGGUGACUGGUCAAAUCAAUAUGGAAUAAAGCUCCAGUGUCUUGGAAAUGGUCUCUGUCUCCAACAUCAAGGCCUAAUGUAGAAAUCUCAAAGGAAGAGACCAGUUGAAAGACCUUAACCUGGAUGAGAAGAUAAUAUUAAAGUGAUUCUUACAAAAAUAAUGUGUGAAGAUGUAAACUCAAAUCAGGUAGUUCUAGACUGGGCCCAAUGAUAUUCUUUUGUUAACAUACUGAUGAACCUUUUGGUUCAAUACAAGCAUGGAAUUUCUUGACCAGUUGAAUGACUAUCGGUAUAUUCAAAGAUCUGCAACAUGAAGUAGGUUUCCACUGAGAACUUAUUUAUAUUUUGUUGCAGUGUAACAAUUAACAAAACAUAUUGUUAGUUGCUGAUGUAAUAAAUUUCACAUCAUGAUAAUUUACAUCACUCAAAUUCAGUCAGCUGUGAAUUUCUCACAAAAAUAUUUGCAUUGUAACAAAUUCCUCAUUGCCUGGAUUCAUGAAAAUACACUUAGCAGUCUAUUUCAAAACUAAACCAUGGAAAAAUUCUUAAUCCUUUCCAUGUUGCUUUUUAUUUAAAUAAAUCAUCUUCUGUUAGUAUAACUGCAUAGUAACAUAUAAUUUCCAUUCAUGAAGUCAUGAAUAUCUCCUUAGAGACUGUGGGACAUGUUUAUCUUUGAUUUCUUCAAAUGCCAAAUAAGCUGACAGCAGAUGUGCUACAGUUUCUGAGUGAGCUAUCUACUCCAGAGAAUAAAAAUCAUUAACCAUUAUGUCCCACUAUAGAAUACAAACUUCAGAAGUAUGAGCACAUACUGCCAAAGUCUUGUCUGGUGAAGAAAUAAUUUGACUUCUGCUUUAAACCUCAUGCAAAAUGAAGGAAUAAUGAACUUCAAAUGCAAAACUAUACCUCCCUCAUAAUAUCUCUGUUUUAGUACUCUGCAUUUAUUUCAAAAUACUUUAAUAUAUAUUUAUACAUCACACACCAAGGUGACCAGAUGUUGAAAUCAAGAUGGGAACAUGCAAACUCCAAAUUAAAUUACUUGAGCACAGAAAUGUCCUGUUUUUCUUUCUUUAUUGUUCUACAGUUGUAAAUCAGCAAAAUGACUGGUUACAGGAAGAACAGAACUUCCUAUCCUGACAGGGUCUUCAAUAUAUCCAUCUUCAUCACAUUCACCUUCUUAUUCAAUUUACUCCAAGGGAAAAAGAGUUCCAGGAUAGUAAAGUGUCCAGAGAAUGAAACUGACCACACUUCUCCAUCUAGCACCAUGGUACAGAAUGCAGAGAGUUUUACCUUCAUGGCCUGUAUACGUUUUAAUGGUGUGCUACUGUCACAGGGGUGUCAGAUCACAGAAAGACUCAACCAGCUGGAACUCCUCAAUAUAGAAGUGUGCAUAUUGAGAAAAGGAGAAGAUCCCAGAACCAGUGUGCGAAUAUAUGCAGCUGCCGAAGGUAUCACUGUUACCCUUGCCUGGAGAAUUCUCCAUGAACAGUCACUUUACUAAUACCACAUCCAGUGACUGCAAGGUCUCACUCCUCCCAACAACAGUGCAAGAGUGGAGAUUUGCUAAUGGAUUCUUGCAAAAUGCAUUGUAAACACAGUCUAUAGCUAACAUCCCGUUUGCUGAUGAUGUGGGAUUCUCGAGGGCCAGUACUGUGUACUUUCAUAAUACCCAGGUUUGGAGUGUACGACAAUCCUCACACCGCCAUGGCAUCAAGCCAUCAACUUGGAUUUUCCAUAUGAUGAGGGGUUUAUUGCUGUAUUAGUCAUGGUUUCAGCUGUGGAUUCUUUUAUGUUAUGCAUAAUGCUACAACAGCCACACCAUCAGUUCCAUACAAACCUACAGAAAGACAACAUUCAUAGCAUACCAGAUACAAAAAUCUUCUCAUCAGGUACACACAAAGAAACCUGUAAAAUUACUAUAUAUGUAACAAACAGAUCAUAAUUACAACCUGCACCUCUAUGGCCUAGGAAAAUUUACCAUACUCCUAGAGAACAAGGCAAACAUCAAAUUCAUUCAAUGAGGCACAAAAAAAAUCUGCCACUCAGAUUAUAACACAGCAACCAGCCCCUCAUCAUGUGCAAAGAAUGACUACACAUCCAUGACAUGUAGUCCAUUACUACCUAUUUAUGCCAUAAUAAAACGUGCAAUAUUCAGUGAUUUUACCCACAGUAACCUUUACAUUUUACUAUUCAUAUCACCUUUACAUACACAAAACUUACCUUUUAUACCUAUUUUGUUUAUACAUUUACAGCAGUUACAUUGCUUUUAUACAUUUUACAGCUGCCUUGUAUCCCAUUUUACCACAUGACAUCUAAAAUAGGCAAAACAAUUUGAGAAGAAUAAGCAUAUAAAUACUGGCCAAUGUACAGAGUCAGCAGAAAGCAGAUAAUAAAUGUACUAUACUAAAAUCUCUGAAGAACGUCUCUAUGGUUGAAACAUAUAGCUAAACAAAUAUAUAAUUAAUUAUUAAAAUAUAUGUGUGUUUUGCUGACAGACUCCUCACAAACUGGAGGAAUGUCAUUAGUUACAUUAUAAACCAAGGAAACGGACAAGGGCAGGAGAAGAAAAUAAUACAUCAUGGUAGUUUAAAACAGAUAUAAUAGAAAUACUUCAGUGCUAUGUUUGUCAUCUACAAUACAAACAAUUUAAACCAUGUUUCCUAGAAUUAAUUUUUUUACUCAAUCAAAAAAGAACAUACAAAAAACAUUCUGGUCACGAAACAUUAAUUCGCAUAAAAAUACUAAAAAUACUUGAUUUCCCUCUAAGCUAUAUCACAGAUUCUUAUGCAAAACACAAUCCAACUUCAACUGCUGGAAUGGUACCACAGAUAUGAAAAAUUACAUAAAUUCCCAUAUCUAGAACUAGUUUCUUGUCUUAUAAAUUAUUAUUCUUAAUCCUGGAUACCAAUGUUCUUACUCAUUUCCAAGAAUUUUGCUUUGUGCUUUCAUACCAUUUUUCAGUAUGACAUUACAAUUUACUCUGAACUACAUACUUGAUUUGGCAAAAUUAACUGCAGAAAAUAUCAACACAAAACAACUGUAUUACUGGUCUUCUUCCACUAAAGAUUAUAAAACUAAAUAGGAACUGUUGAGAUUUUGUUAUACAUUAAUUAAAGUACUCUUAACAUAUCCAAACAUAUCAUGAUAUGAAUGCAUGUCCAUUUUAAGAUGAAUGGUUAUCAUAUAAUAUUACUGUAAUUAAUUUUACUUUGAAAAAGUCAAAAAAUGAAAGCAGAGUAUUUCAGUCACUUAAAUAGUAUGCUAAUCACUAGUGCAUCAGCAUAAUAGCAUUGUAUCAUAUUAUUAAAAUAAAUUACUGAUUACUAUAGUAAGUAUUAUGCUGUAUAGUGGCUAGAAUAUUAAUUUAGUAAUGUAAUGAAAAGUGAUAAAGUAAAUACUAAACUAACUCAGCAUGUAAAAAGUCAGAUUAUAUUUACAUGGGCAACAGCAACUCCUGAAAUCUAGUGAUUCUUAUAGGUAUGUUCGCAAUUUAUUUAACAGUUGUUUCAAAUCAUAAGCAAAAUUAUAGUCAUUUGGAGGAACAGUACUUACUACAUUACUCAAAUGAAAACACAUGCUUAUUCACUGUAAAUAUAACUAAAAUAUUUGAUGACAUGUCAUGACAUUCUGAAUGCUGGUAAGAGAUUCAUAUUUGUUAGAUAAUGCUAACAGCUGAAAUCAGUCUGCUUCAAUUUUCAGAUCUAAAAACGCAGCAAGGACAGUUUGUAUCAUGUUUGUUUAAAUCAUAACUGUGGAACUACAAAAUAUAUCAAAUAUAAAGUUACACUGGUCCCAAAAUUUUACUAUCUGACAGAAAAGACACAAAAAUUGGAAAUGAAUAGCUGAAAUUGUAAGAAACUGGUAAAGUAAAAAGUAAAGCUAUCCCUGUAAUAGGCUGUGAAGGCCCAUAGAGUUGUGAGACGUUGAGGGUCCCAC